rnacentral:misc_RNA from 1 species
GUGAAUCAUCGAAUCUUUGAACGCACAUUGCGCCCGCUAGUAUUCUGGCGGGCAUGCCUGUUCGAGCGUCAUUUCAACCCCUCAGGCCCUGGUGCCUGGCGUCGGGGCGUUCCCUUGUGGGAAGCCCCUAGAGACAUUGGCGGACCCGCCGCGGCUCCGAGCGCAGUAGUAAUAUUCUCGCUAUGGAGGUCCGCGGAGGAGGCCGGCCGUAAAACCAGCGAAAGCUAAUCCAUAAGGUUGACCUCGGAUCAGGUAGGAAUACCCGCUGAACUUAAGCAUAUCAAUAAGCGGAGGA